AAUGAACGCUGGCGGCGUGCCUAACACAUGCAAGUCGCACGAGAACGUUUCAGCUUGCUGAGACUAUUAAAGUGGCGCACGGGUGAGUAACGCGUGGGUAAUCUACCUCCGAAUUGGGGAUAACAUUGCGAAAGCGGUGCUAAUACCGAAUAAUAUUCGUAAGACUUCGGUCUUAAGAAUCAAAGGUGGCCUCUACAUGUAAGCUAUUGUUUGGAGAUGAGCCCGCGUACCAUUAGCUAGUUGGUAGGGUAAUGGCCUACCAAGGCUUCGAUGGUUAGCUGGUCUGAGAGGAUGAUCAGCCACACUGGAACUGACACACGGUCCAGACUCCUACGGGAGGCAG
rnacentral:rRNA from 1 species